rnacentral:rRNA from 1 species
CCGCCGCAGUAACACAUGCAAGUCGCACGAGAGAGGGCUUCGGCCCCGGUACAGUGGCGCACGGGUGAGUAACACGUGGGUAAUCUGCCUUCGAGCGGGGGAUAACAUUCCGAAAUGAGUGCUAAUACCGCAUAAGACCACGCCUCCGAAAGGAGAAGCGGUCAAAGCUGGCCUCUAUACAUAAGCUAGCACUCGAUGAUGAGGCCGCGGAGCAUCAGCUAGUUGGUGAGGUAAUGGCUCACCAAGGCUUAGACGCUUAGCUGGUCUGAGAGGAUGAUUGGCCACACUGGAACUGAGACACGGUGCAGACUCCUACGGGCGGCAGGAGUGGGGAGUCUUGCGCAAUGGGCGAAAGCCUGACGCAGCGACGCCGCGUGAGUGAUGAAGGCCUUCGGGGUGUAAAGCUCUGUGGGGAGAGAGGAAUAAGUGCGGGCUAAUACUCCGCAUGAUGACGGUAUCUCCUUAGCAAGCACCGGCUAACUCUGUGCCAGCCGCCGCC